UGUCCCUGAUAGCCCAUAUGACGCAGAAUGGCAGCACACGCCUAUCUCACUCUUCGAGGCGCCCCCAAAACCACGAUGCGCAUUGUUUGUAGGCAACAUGACGGUAUCUCCUGUAAUAGAGAAAAGGUCGUAUAAUUAGGUGAACAACAAAUUUGUUUCUUUUAAGCAAGGAAAGUGUUUGACGAUCACACAAGCGGCAGCACAAUUUGAGUUAAGACCUGCAAGCCCGGUUCACGUCAGCUACCGGUAAUGUUCCUCAGAAGGAGUGGGGGGCGGAUCAGCGACUUCGAGGAGGCUGCGUUCGUGUAGUUGUGCUACGUUGCGGAACGAACGACAUGCCCUACAUGGACCCCGACAUCGCGAUCAGGGAGUACGACAAACUCAUCCAACACCUCAGGGCCCGAGACGAAUGGAGUAUCAAUGCAGUCCUCGAGUUUGCCUUCAACAAGCGGUUGGUGUACCUGUGUCGGCGCUCUGCACGCCUGUACUACCUGGAUCAUGGCUUUCAUCGCCAGCCCCCCACACGUGUCCUCGCUGCAGAUGGGUUACAUCCAAGCUACGAGGGGGUCCGACAGAUCUGCGGCCGCACCCGAAGCGUCCUGCCACGGCUGCUUGGGCGAGCCCCUCGCCGCCGAGCCAACGAACCUGUAGUAACGGACCCAUGCUGGCCGACCUUCCAGGAAGCUGCAGCCCUAGGACAAAGACGACGACCCCGACAGCCUGCAGGCCGACGAGAUUGACUAGCCGCCGGUGAAUCUGUAUCGGUGAAUCCUCUGCAUGGCGCUUCCCCUAAUUAGAACAAAGCCAGCCUUUCGAUUAUACCUUGGAAGGCGAACCAUCUCUACACAAUACCCCAGAUUAUGUCAAUCACAGGACAAGGACCCUGCACGUGACCUUCCCGGAUAUUUCCAUAACUCUCUACGACAAUCGCCAGGUGGCGAGCUCAUACUCAACUGUGACGUCAUUCAAGAAGCCUACAUAAA